AUACGAAGGGGGCUAGCGUUGUUCGGAAUUACUGGGCGUAAAGCGUACGUAGGCGGACUGAUCAGUUGGGGGUGAAAUCCCAGGGCUUAACCCUGGAACUGCCUUCAAUACUGUCAGUCUUGAGUCCGGAAGAGGUGAGUGGAAUUCCUGGUGUAGAGGUGAAAUUCAUAGAUAUCAGGAGGAACACCAGUGGCGAAGGCGGCUCACUGGUCCGGUACUGACGCUGAGGUACGAAAGCGUGGGGAGCAAACAGGAUUAGAAACCCUAGUAGUCC
rnacentral:rRNA from 1 species